UUUAAGCGAGGAGGAGGCUACUCUAGUUAAUACCUAGAGAUAGUGGACGUUACUCGCAGAAUAAGCACCGGCUAACUCUGUGCCAGCAGCCGCGGUAAUACAGAGGGUGCGAGCGUUAAUCGGAUUUACUGGGCGUAAAGCGUGCGUAGGCGGCUGAUUAAGUCGGAUGUGAAAUCCCUGAGCUUAACUUAGGAAUUGCAUUCGAUACUGGUCAGCUAGAGUAUGGGAGAGGAUGGUAGAAUAAGGGCGAAUUCGUUUAAACCUGCAGGACUAG
rnacentral:rRNA from 1 species